rnacentral:lncRNA from 1 species
GGGAGUUUUUCUUUUGGUGUAGCUGCCUGAUGUUGUUCUUGUUGGAAUUGGCUGCCCGUUUGGAAUUUUAAAUACGGCGUCUGCUUUGUUUGAAACCGGAAACGAGUGUCUGUCAGUUUAUUUGCUUGCUGCUGCUGCUAUUGCUGCUGCUGCUGAUGAUGAUGUUGUUGUUGUCGUCUCCGUUGUGUCGGCCGCCCCGAAAUGAAGUCAAGCAACUUUGCCAAAGGAAAUGCCGCCUAAUGUGUUCGUUUGUGUUUGUGUAACUGUAUUUGCAAUUGCCAUUUGACAGCGGCGCUGGAAAAUGGGGACUACGGAUAUUACAUUUACAAUAGGUUUGAUUUUGCUUAAGUGAAACUGCUGCGACACGAAAUGUUCUCCAUCGAUGCCAAAUAAUGCCAUUCACACUAUUGCUGUUAUGGCUGUAUUUUCCCGAUGGUAGAACCGUAUUGAAUGGUAUGUUCAGGAUAACCUGAAGGAUUUGUUGUGUAACCAUAGCUACCCCCUCUUCAUUUGCUGCUCUCCACAGCUCUGUUCGCUUAAUGGAGCAAUAGUGGAGGCCUAAAUCCCUGUCACACUCAGGCAGCCAGAAAUAUUUGUACAUACAAAUGACACAAAUUUCUUUGGAG